UUUUCCCUCAGCACUGAGUCCCUGUAUGCACUUAUGUGAUCAGAAGGAAAGGUGCAGAAAGCUGCCUGUCCACUGCUCACAGUGGCUAUGUGGGACGGAGCUGGGCAGAGGAAGACAGUUCUUUAGUCCUGAUUUAUGUCUGCUCUGCUUGGCAUGUUUCAAUCAGCAUAGGUUACUCACAACUCUAAAAGUUCAAUAAAAUUAAAAAGGGAGCUGCAAGAAGAGGCAUAUGAUGUCAUGCGCAUGGAAUCCAAAACGUUUCUAACAUCCCGUAGCCUCCCAUGGGGUUCAUGCAGCAACUCACUAUACUGCCGUGGCAGCCCUACCCUCUGUGGCUAGUAACUCCUGACUUUCUCAGAGGGCUACACAGCAGCUGGGAAGAGCCGAUGCGGUCAGAAGGGCUGAGGUCACGAGUGGUGGUCUCAACUAAAAUGGUGACAUUUUGUUUCAUGAAGGAGGAAGAAGAGGAGGAGGAGAAAGAGGAGAACUAAAGUCCUAAAGGUCAACAUGAUGAAAGAUGAAAGUUCACUGGAACUGGUGACCUACGCUUGAGGGACUGCAGUCCUUCACGUACCUCUCCUUGUCCUAGAAGUCUUCCCUAGAAGUUAUAUAUACAUAUACAUUAUAUACAUAAAGCUACUUAACUACAGUAAAGGGGGAAGAAUUUUUCUUCCCUGAUGUAUAAGACAUCAUCUAGUAACCCCUACAUACAGACAUAAGGAAGAAGGACUGAGGGACGGGAAAGGGAGAGGGAGAGAAAGUACCAAAGUAUGCUUAGACCGCUGGUCUCUUUUCUUCUGGUUUUCUUUAUUUCCCCACAGGGUCUUGUUCAGAAAUAAGCACAGGAAACAAACAUUAAAGUCUUCUUAGUGGAUGGAUGGAUGUACGGAUGGAUGGAUGGGUGGAUGGAUGGGUGGAUGGAUGGGUGGAUGGAUGGGUGGAUGGAUGGAUGGAUCGAUCAAUCAACAAGCAGACAGAUGGACAGACAACUUGAAUGAACUAAUCGUUGCCGGCUCUCAGCACAGGUAGGCGCCUGUCUUCUCCAGGAAGCUCAUGGAGACUGCCCUUGACGUUUUGGGAUUCCCUUAUGGAUAUAUAACCAAAUCCUGAAGUCAGGCUACUGAGCACCAGCCAGUCCGAGUCUAAGUACCUCCAGGUGAGACGAGUGGUUAGAACAGGUUAGCUCCUGCCAAUGUCACCUGUGCCCUGCUGAAUGUUCCCAGUUUCCUGCCCUGUUCUAAGUUCAGACCUGUAGCUGUGCUGAGAUGACCCAGACCCAGUGCUGGGCGAGAGUCGUAGCUAAGAGGACCCAACAAGGAGGAGGAAGCCACCAAGGAGAUCCUUGCUUAGUCUCUGCCACCAACCAGUGUUGGGACCUCGGUGAAGGAAAUCAUCUGGGCUGUGGCUUCCACUCUGUAAAACAAUGGGCUGCGUGUGCUCGCUGCUGCUGUGUAGAUGUAGCUCCAGUGAGGGGAGAGCCUAUGUCACAGCUUGGUGCCACACUGGCUAUAGCUUCAGGGAAUUGCCAAAGUGUCAGGGAGUGGUAAGCACAUGAGAGCCAAUUGGCACCAUAGCCAGCCAAACAGCAGCAGUGCAGCCAAGGACAAGCCAGCUCCAUCAACGUGGUCGGGAUGCUAAAGUCACCAUGGCUGGGCUUCUGCUGGGUGUGAACCACAUUUCUUUAUGUAAGGCUUGUUACAGCAACAUCUUUUCUCGGGUGAGUGAUGCCAGGCCCCUGACCACAUGGCAUUUAUGGCCAGUUUUUGUCGAGUUUAAGCUUGAAGUAGAAGCAGGAAGAGUACUCAGCAGCCUUGACACCGCCUGACUCUCCAACUUCAUGUUCAGGGAGUAGCUGGAGUUGUCAAAGGUCCUUCCCCACCCCCACAUGACAAGAGCCUGUAGGGAGGGUUCUAUGCUCAAAGCCAUAGGAAGCUGAAUGUAGCUUGGCCUGAGAAGCUUAGCUACAGGUCCACACGCCUUUCAGCUGCAGACCUCAACUUGGAUUCUGAGCUCUGUCCUCCUCCGUGAGCCACACAGCCCCAUCACUGGAAGGAAGGCUGCUGACUUUGCUCUUGGGAAUAUCAGAUGAGAAGGCAUGUGUUACAGUUUCAGCCCUGAGUUGAGCACUUCAUUAGUGUCCAGUGAACGGACAUCUCUUCUCACAAUCAAACCCAGCUGUCUUAGUUAGGGUUUAACUGCUGUGAACAGACACCGUGACCAAGGCAACUCUUAUAAGGCUGGCAUACAGGUUCAGGGGUUCAGUCCAUUAUCAUCAAGGCAGGAACAUGGUAGCAUCCAGGCAGGCCUGGUGCAGGAGUUGAGUUCUACAUCUUUACCAGAAGGAAGCCAGGAACAGACUGAGCAUCCUCAGGCAGCUAGGAGGAGGGUCUCCAAGCCCACCCUACAGUGACACACUUCCUCCCAGAAGGCCACACCUCCUAAUAGUGCCACUCCCUGGGCCUAGCAUUUGCAAACCAUCACAUCAGCCUUCAGUACUUAACUGAGGGCUUGAUGCUAGCACAGGGCUCGGGGGUGGGCCUGUUGCAAAGGGUCCUAGACAGGGAGGGAAUAAAGAAGCCUAAUGCUUCUUACAAUCUUGUCAUCACUUAAUCUCACAGGUCCCUGGCAGAAGCAUGAGUAUCAUUGUAUCAGCUGCCUGUGGCCUCUGCUCAAAGGCGUCUGGAAGGUCCUGCUCAGGCAGGUCUCCAGCCUGCUGCUCAGACAUCCCCUGCUGAGAAGACCUCCAUUGUCAGCAUGGUGCUCUCGGGGACUUGAUCUAUUUAUUUGUUUGCUUAUUAAUGUAUUUAUUUAUCUUUUUUUUUUUUUUUUUUUUUGUGAGACAAGGUUUCUCUGUGUAGAACUGUCCUAGAACUGUAGACCAAGUUGGCUUCAAACUCAGGGAUCCACCUGCCUCUGCUUCCCAAGUGCUGGGCACACACCACACAGCGAUUUACUUCCUAAGACAGCCCUCUUCGAAAUUACAAUCCUCUCACCUCCACCUCUCAAGAAGACGAUUCCAUGGCUGUCCAGAGAGUCAUGGGGGUAGGGGAAGCAGUGGGAAGAGGUGAGGCUACAGAGAUAUGGAAACCCGGUCCUGAAGGGUCCUUGCAGGCCUGCUCCAGAGUCAGACUUUGCUCCUGGGACAGUGGGACACCAAAGAGCAGUUCUGGAUAGGGCACCACAGCCUGACACUCACUCCCUUGGGCCGGGUGUGGGGAAUGAACAUUGCUUUAGAUGUUAAGGCUGCUGGGCUCCAGGGGCAAGGGCUUAUUGUGUAAGCAGACAUGGGAGGUGGAAUAGUUCAAACAACACUAUUGGAGGCUGGGUCUUGCUGGUCAUGCACCGCCUCCUCUCCAGUAGCAGUAGAUCCUAGAGGGGAAGUGAAACAAGACAGCUGGGAGCUAAGAGACCUCAGGCAACUCGUGAGAACAGACUCUUGGGAGGCAGCUUUAAUGAGAGGAAAAAAGGCUACUUAAACCUUUUGGGCCCACCACCCACCAUAGGGAGUGGAAGAGAAAGGUUAAUAGGAUACAGGGAGAGUGGACUUGUUUAAAAACAUUCCUCGGAGCAAAUCCAGUCUGCAUUGUCAGGAUAUCAGCGGUUCGGUUCACAGGAAUCAGCCACGGCACCUCGAUCCAACGGAAGCUGUGAGGCUCUACUGUUCAGAAGUUCACCGAGGCGAUUUUGAUCUCCAACUGUCAGGACGCCAGCAGUCCAGUUCAGUAGUGUCCGGAUAACAAACACCAAUCAGCAGCGGUGGCACAGCCUAGCAGAAACAGCCAGGCCUCCACCGAAUCCACACAAGUCAGCAGGGGCUCCUAGGACCAGCAGGGACGUCAGGAGAAGUUCUCUGCUCUACCUCUCUCGAAGAAGUGAAGACCAGCGAAGACACCAGACCAAUGAAGCGUUGCAAAGCUAGCCGUGCAAGCCCACCGCCACUGUCUGUUCAGUCCCACUUAUAUGCCCUCCAAACAUCACGUGUCCUCUCUCGGGUCUUGCCUCAACAAAACACAUGAGUCUGUAUGAGCCAAAACAUCCAGAAACUUACACUUCACUCUGCCAAUCGGCCCAAGUCUAAGGAAGUGGCAAGAAGCCACCAGAAGUUUUUUGGUGCAUUUUUCUCUCUAUGGAGUCACAACAAACAAACAACAGUACAGCAUCCCAACGCCAUCCAAUGCCGCCCACAGUCUGUUGGGUUAUGUUUGUAUUCCUUCAAAACAUGCGUCUUUUCAUGUGUCUGCUUUAGCAAGAUAUCCUUUCACCCGUGUGUCCAGCAAAGUACCAGUUGACACAACUGACUUUCCAAAGAAACCAAAAGUUUCCACUUCACAGAGCACUAAUUUCCAGUCAACAAAAAAAGCUAGAGAUGCUGUCAGCCAGCUGGCAUCUGAGGCCUGGGGCAGAGAAUUCCCAUGUUCCCCUAAUCUACCUACCUGACCAACACAUUUUGAAAAUGCCUCCACGUAUGGCCUCCUUAGUUCUGUUACUAUUAAAAGUUCACAAAACUGAUUCUUACAAGUAAAGUGUGACCUCUCAGAAAUGUGGGUUAUGAAAAUGGGAACAUAGCUUUCUGGGAUGUAAGGUUCUUGCCACAAUUAUAUUACUUAAAAACUCCAAAGCAUCCAGGCAAUGGUGGUUCACUCCUUUGUUCCCAGCACUUGGGAGACAAAGACAGGUAUAGUGUGAGUUUGAGGAUAGCCUGGCCUACAGAGCAAGUUCCAGAACAGCCAAGGUUAUAUGGACUAUAAGCCCUGUCUUGGGAAAAAAAAACACAUACUCUCACACACACAGUCUCUCUCUCUUUCUCUCUCUCUCUCUCUCUCUCUCUCUCUCUCUCUCUCUCUCUCUCUCACACACACACACACACACACACACACACACACACACACACACACACACACACAGACACACAGA